UAAUCCUGGUCGGACAUCAGGAGGUUAGUGCAAUGGCAUAAGCCAGCUUGACUGCGAGCGUGACGGCGCGAGCAGGUGCGAAAGCAGGUCAUAGUGAUCCGGUGGUUCUGAAUGGAAGGGCCAUCGCUCAACGGAUAAAAGGUACUCCGGGGAUAACAGGCUGAUACCGCCCAAGAGUUCAUAUCGACGGCGGUGUUUGGCACCUCGAUGUCGGCUCAUCACAUCCUGGGGCUGAAGUAGGUCCCAAGGGUAUGGCUGUUCGCCAUUUAAAGUGGUACGCGAGCUGGGUUUAGAACGUCGUGAGACAGUUCGGUCCCUAUCUGCCGUGGGCGCUGGAGAACUGAGGGGGGCUGCUCCUAGUACGAGAGGACCGGAGUGGACGCAUCACUGGUGUUCGGGUUGUCAUGCCAAUGGCACUGCCCGGUAGCUAAAUGCGGAAGAGAUAAGUGCUGAAAGCAUCUAAGCACGAAACU
rnacentral:rRNA from 1 species